GAUGAACGCUAGCGGCAGGCCUAACACAUGCAAGUCGAGGGAGGAGCCUUCGGGCUUCGACCGGCGUACGGGUGCGUAACGCGUAUACAAUCUGCCUUUCACAUAGGGAUGGCCCGAAGAAAUUUGGAUUAAUACCUAAUGGUAUAUAGAUGUGGCAUCACCUUUAUAUUAAAGCUGAGGCGGUGAAAGAUGAGUAUGCGUUCUAUUAGCUAGUUGGAGAGGUAACGGCUCCCCAAGGCGACGAUAGAUAGGGGUUCUGAGAGGGAUAUCCCCCACACUGGUACUGAGAUACGGACCAGACUCCUACGGGAGGCAGCAGUGAGGAAUAUUGGACAAUGGUCGGAAGACUGAUCCAGCCAUGCCGCGUGCAGGAAGACGGCCUUAUGGGUUGUAAACUGCUUUUGCAGGGGAAGAAUAAGGACUACGCGUAGUUUGAUGACGGUACUCUGCGAAUAAGCAUCGGCUAACUCCGUG
rnacentral:rRNA from 1 species